rnacentral:ribozyme from 16 species
UGGCUUACGGGCGGCAACCCUGGAGCCCCUGUCCUUGGGCUGAGGGAAAGUCUGGGAAAGGAGGUCGGUGCCCGGCAGCUCGGACCCAAACGACCGCCGGUCCGCAUCAGAACGUGGGGGCGAGGGUGUUCUUGCCUCUGGACGAUGGACCCCGGGAUCUGGGCCCCUUGCGACCAAGCGAGGGAGCCGCGUGUGAGUGAGCGUAGGAGGUGCCGAGCAUGUCGACGCACGAAGGGUUGCGGGGUGUGGAAC